rnacentral:rRNA from 1 species
UACGUAGGGGGCAAGCGUUGUCCGGAAUCAUUGGGCGUAAAGAGCUUGUAGGCGGUCUGUCGCGUCUGCUGUGAAAAUCCGGGGCUCAACCCCGGACUUGCAGUGGGUACGGGCAGACUAGAGUGUGGUAGGGGAGACUGGAAUUCCUGGUGUAGCGGUGAAAUGCGCAGAUAUCAGGAGGAACACCAAUGGCGAAGGCAGCACUCUGGGACGUGACUGACGCUGAGACGCGAAAGCGUGGGGAGCAAACAGG